UCUUCGUGAAUUCUCCACAAA
rnacentral:piRNA from 1 species